rnacentral:rRNA from 1 species
GAUGAACGUUGGCGGCGUGCCUAAUACAUGCAAGUCGAACGAAGACUGUAGUAAUACUGUCUUAGUGGCGAACGGGUGAGUAACGCGUGGGUGACCUGCCCCGAAGUGUGGGAUAACAGUCCGAAAGGAUUGCUAAUACUGCAUAAUAUCCAAGAGAUUAGAUGCUUUUGGAUUAAAGGAGUAAUUCGCUUCGGGAGGGGCCCGCGUCCCAUCAGCUAGUUGGUAAGGUAAUGGCUUACCAAGGCGAUGACGGGUAGGGGACCUGAGAGGGUGGCCCCCACAAUGGAACUGAAACACGGUCCAUACACCUACGGGUGGCAGCAGUAGGGAAUAUUAGUAAUGGGCGAAAGCCUGAACUAGCAACGCCGCGUGUGCGAAGAAGGCCUUCGGUCGUAAAGACACUUUUGUAGAGGAUGAGGAAGGACGGUACUCUCAGAAUAAGUCUCGGCUAACUAACGUGCCAGCAGCCGCGGUAAGUACUGUCUACG